UAAUAAGUGUUUUAUGGCACUUUUUAAAUCCAUAUCCACCUUGUGUGCAAUGUCAGUCGAUUUCUUUCGUCAGAGAGAUCGACCAAACAUCAACUUAUUCUAAUUGAACUUUUGUCUGAAAACUAUUAUGAAUAAACUAAUUCAAAAUA
rnacentral:misc_RNA from 1 species